rnacentral:ribozyme from 14 species
AAAGUUAGAAGAGAAUAGCGAAAAUUAGAGGUGAUGAUUCUGUGUAACGUGUAUGUAUGUGUAUGUAUGUGCGCGUAUGCUCUUAUCUUAUUAUAUACGCCUUUAUUACUAAAACAUCCGGCUAAUUUUUAUAUAUGUGCGAA